rnacentral:rRNA from 1 species
AUACGUAGGGUGCAAGCGUUAAUCGGAAUUAUUGGGCGUAAAGCGCGCGCAGGUGGUUCCUUAAGUCUGAUGUGAAAGCCCCCGGCUCAACCGGGGAGGGUCAUUGGAAACUGGGGAACUUGAGUGCAGAAGAGGAUAGUGGAAUUCCAAGUGUAGCGGUGAAAUGCGUAGAGAUUUGGAGGAACACCAGUGGCGAAGGGGACUUUCUGGUCUGUAACUGACACUGAGGCGCGAAAGCGUGGGGAGCAAACAGGAUUAGAUACCCUGGUAGUCCACGCCGUAAACGAUGAGUGCUAAGUGUUGGGGGGUUUCCGCCCCUCAGUGCUGCAGCUAACGCAUUAAGCACUCCGCCUGGGGAGUACGGUCGCAAGACUGAAACUCAAAGGAAUUGACGGGG